GCCGAACUGGCCUUUCCUGGGCC
rnacentral:miRNA from 1 species